rnacentral:rRNA from 1 species
GGGCAAGUCUGGUGCCAGCAGCCGCGGUAAUUCCAGCUCCAAUAGCGUAUAUUAAAGUUGUUGCAGUUAAAAAGCUCGUAGUUGAAUUUCGGAAUCUGUCCGUCGGUCGGGCUUCACUGUCCGUACUGGUGUGAUGGGUUUCUACCUUCUGAAUAACCGGCAUGUCAUUAAUUUGGUGCGCCGGGGAAGCAGAACUAUUACCUUGAAAAAAUUAGAGUGCUUAAAGCAGGCUAUCGCCUGAAUAGAUUAGCAUGGAAUAAUAAAAUAGGACGGCAUGGUUCUAUUUUGUUGGUUUCUAGGAUCACCGUAAUGAUUAAUAGGGAUAGUUGGGGGCAUUAGUAUUCAAUUGUCAGAGGUGAAAUUCUUGGAUUUAUUGAAGACUAACUUCUGCGAAAGCAUUUGCCAAGGAUGUUUUCAUUAAUCAAGGACGAAAGUUAGGGGAUCGAAGACGAUCAGAUACCGUCGUAGUCUUAACCAUAAACUAUGCCGACUAGGGAUCGGACGAUGUUAAUUUUUUAAUGACUCGUUCGGCGCCUUACGGGAAAC